rnacentral:rRNA from 1 species
GAUUCACCUACGGAUACCUUGUUACGACUUUUACUUCCUCUAAACGCUACAGUUUGGUCGUCUUCCCGCCAGCCAGGCAGAGUAAUCCGCCAGGCAAACAGUCCGAGGACCUCACUAAAACGUUCAAUCGGUAGUAGCGACGGGCGGUGUGUACAAAGGGCAGGGACGUAAUCAACGCAAGCUGAUGACUUGCGCUUACUGGGAAUUCCUCGUUCAAGGGAAACAAUUACAAUUCCCUAUCCCUAGCACGAGUCGGGUUCAACGGAUUACCUCGACCUUUCGGCCUUGGAAAUAUACGCACGUUGAUCGACUCAUUGUAGCGCGCGUGCGGCCCCGAACAUCUAAGGGCAUCACAGACCUGUUAUUGCUCAAUCUCGUGUGAAUUAAAAUCACUAGUCCCUCUAAGAAGUCAAUUCGGCAAGUGCAUACGCACUUCCGCGACUAUUUAACAUGCCAGAGUCUCGUUCGUUAUCGGAAUAAACCAGACAGAUCGCUCC